rnacentral:rRNA from 1 species
ACUACGGGAGGCAGCAGUGGGGAAUAUUGGGCAAUGGGCGCAAGCCUGACCCAGUAACGCCGCGUGAAGGAAGAAGGCUUUCGGGUUGUAAACUUCUUUUCUCAGGGACGAAGCAAGUGACGGUACCUGAGGAAUAAGCCACGGCUAACUACGUGCCAGCAGCCGCGGUAAUACGUAGGUGGCAAGCGUUAUCCGGAUUUACUGGGUGUAAAGGGCGUGUAGGCGGGGACGCAAGUCAGAUGUGAAAACCACGGGCUCAACCUGUGGCCUGCAUUUGAAACCGUGUUUCUUGAGUACUGGAGAGGCAGACGGAAUUCCUAGUGUAGCGGUGAAAUGCGUAGAUAUUAGGAGGAACACCAGUGGCGAAGGCGGUCUGCUGGACAGCAACUGACGCUGAGGCGCGAAAGCGUGGGGAGCAAACAGGAUUAGAUACCCCUGUAGUC